rnacentral:pre_miRNA from 1 species
UUCAUACUCCCUGCGUCCCAAAAUUCUUGUCUUAGAUUUGUCUAGAUACAGAUGUAUCUAAUACUAAAACAUGACUUGAUACAUCCGUAUUUAGACAAAUCAAAGACAAGAAUUUUCGGACGGAGGGAGUACUUC